ensembl:lncRNA
AUUAAUUGUUCUUUAUUAGUGUCUUGCAUGCACAAGGCUUUAUGAGAGGUUAUCUUGGCUUCUGUAAACUAAAUUCUGGCUUGGACUGCAACCCUUGGGCCAGUGAGAUGGCUGCUGGCUUACAGAUGUUUUCAUCCCUCAGUGCAAAUGCUCCCUUAGACAGCCCCACAUAUCAUGGAUCUUUUAGAAAUAAAGAUUUCACGUUUGUGUGGAGUCACUGAAGGCCAGAAGGACUCAGUAUCACAGGAACGCAGCCUGCCUCUACUGAGAUUUCUUGCUGCAAACUCGAGUGCCAGAUUUUGGGGGGAUUUUUUAAUGUCUCGUCCUUUGCUUGCUGCUGCUCAGCUCUAUCCCUAGAUCAUGUACCACUUCUGAUAAGUCGUAUUUGUCUGCUCUGCUCCACUGGAGCAAACAGAGCUGUGGAUGUGGAGUGCUGCCCCGAUGUGCUGUAGCUCAGAGGGAUGUCACCUGAAUGGCUCCUAAAAUUAGAUCUAUCCAAGAGAGAACCAUUGAAAUUCCACAGUUAAAACUCCUGGUGAUUGAGAACAAAUGAAACUGCUCUGAAUGCUUCAGAAACUUGCUAAUGGCUGGAAAGGAGAGGGUCAGGGUCUUGUUGGGAAUCGUUUAAAAUCCUUCCCUGCCCAUUACUCAUUCUUUAAGUGACACCUUGAUGGUUGCACUACGGUAGUUAAACAUAUAUUGUUAAUACCACAAGGUUUUAUGGGUAGGACUUUUUGCUCCAAAAUGAAACUGAAUGAUUUUCAUGCUGGUUACCACCAAUUCUCCAGGCUGUUAAAUAUUCUUUAUUGCAUGGCAAUGGAUUCACAUCCUGGAAUCGUGAUAAUUCACGGAAAUCUCAUAGAUGUAGUAUUGGUGUUCAUUCAGAAAUGAUGCGUCCUGAAAACAUCAGCAGUGGCUGUAACUGCAACUGAUGUCUUGUUAAAUCUUUUCACCAGUUUUCAGUGUUCUAGGUCCAUUGAUUGGAAAGCAGCUUCGAAACUGAGAUUACACUAGAAAGCAUGAGACACAUGAGCCUGGGUACAUCAUCUAGGACAAGAGGUAAUGGCCUUAAGUUGCACCAGGGAAGGUCCAGGUUGGACACUAGGAAGAAAUUAUUCUCUGAAAGAGCCGUAAUGCAUUGGUAUAGACUGCCCAGGUAAGUAGUGAGUCACUGUCCCAGUAGGCAUCCAGGAACUGUGGGGAUCUGGCGCUGAGGGAUGUGGUCUGUGGGCAUGGUGAGGAUGGGUGGACUUGGUGAUCUUGGAGGUCUCUUCCAACCUUAAUGAUUCAGCGAUCUUCUGUUACCCCAUUUUUCACCCAUACUAAGCUUGUUGGCAGCCCCACCACCUGCCCUUGCUCUCUUCUUACAACUCAGUCUUCAAGAGCCUCAUAAAUGUACAGGGACCUCAGCUUGCUGCUUAAAGCUGAUAUGUAUAGCUAUUAUGGGUGUGUAACCACUAAGUGUAUUGCAUUUCUAACUAGAAGUCAAGUGAAAAGCACUCAAAUGUUACUUGUUACAUGACAAGUUGUUUUUUGGGGGGGUGGUUUUUUUUUUAUCUGUCUGUUUUUUAAAUAACACUGCUUAUUGAUAAUUUUUGGUGUGUUUCAACUGUUGCUUUGGAGUUGUAAUAUAUGUACGUAUGGACGUAUAUUAGAGGGUCCCUACAGGGCAAGCUUUUAUCUCCUUGCAGACAUCUGCUAGGGCACCCAGCCCUGUGUUAACACAGCAUUCACCAGGUCUGCAGAUCCCUGCCUCCCACCUUUAGACAGUGCCCUGCUCUUUGGGAUGUACACGAGGCUUUUUGCUUAGGGCUGUUUUGUUGAAGUGUUUCCAUGACACAGCCCUGAGCUCUGCUCUCAGUGUGACUAAAUGCAAACAAGGGGAGGAGAUGGGCUGGGGAUAAACCCUUGUCUCUGCAUCUCUCUGCAAGCUGUGAGCAUUGACGUCAGCCGAGCAGCGCCGCUCCCCAUCUGCCCAGGAUCCAGCCUAUUAGAGGGGCAGCAAUGGGUAAAAAUGAAUUCCUGGAGUAGACAGAACCCUCUGCAAAUGUGUGCAGAUGAACCUGGGGAUCUCUCCCCAGCCUGUGACAGUAGCACCUCCAACCGCGUGCUCCUGUUGUGUGCCAUUAUCUCCUGUUUCCUUAACCUAGAGCUCUCUCUUUUCUUUUUCCUGAGUGCAGCAGGCACCUCAAUCAUCUGUUACGUGGCUUUGAUCCAGCAAUUGGAGACGUGCUGUGGAGUAAUCCUCAGAAAACCUGGGGUAAUGGGAUGGGGAGAGGACACAGUGCUACAUUAAUAUUACAUAUUAAUAUUACUACGUAUGAUCUCCACUUUCCUUUCACAUUUGAGGGCCCAACCAACCAGCACAAAGCAACAGUUGAAGAAGUAGAAAAGGUGCACUUUGGAAACAUCAUUAAUGGCACGGGAAGGCUUGUGGGCCGGUGUAUGAGGCCAGGAGGAGAUGGCACAAAGGGAGAUCCCAUGAGCAGCUGAGAGAAUUCGGACAGAUGUGUGAAGCUGAGGUGGGUGCGUUCCUCCCUGACCCAUGCUGUAUCCCUUAAGCCAUCUCAACUGCUCCUUAGAAGCAGUGAUCAUUAAACAUUUGCCAAGUUGAUUUUGCUCUGCAUCUCUGAAUGUGAAGAGAGGAGUGAGACAGGAGAUUGGGAACACAGCAUGGAUGUGGAGACUCCAUUGUGCCCGUGGUCUUGGAGGCCCAAGAGGAUGAAGAUAUGAAGAAAUGUUUCAGGAGUACAAUAAUGAUUCCUCAAUUUCACACUGUUGUGCAAGGUUCUCAUGGUGUUGCAUGAAGUGGGGGAAAGGAUAUUAGAAUGCUGGUAGAGUCCAUGAGACAGAGUCAUCAUCUUCAAGGUGACGACGAUACAGAUUUCUGAGGAUACUGGGAGCUGAACAGCAAGAUCAUCAAAGCAAUUGUAACGUUUAUGGCCUCUCAAUUCUCCAGGAGUAUAUGGAGGUACAGACACAGUGCUAUUACCUUGGGGAAACCAUUAAAGGUUGCUUCGUGCUAUGCUAAGGACUUUUAUUCAUCAAGAGUAAUUACCUCUAUCUUGAUAAGAAGUGAGAAGAUGACAGUAAGAACUACUGUGUCACAUCAGGUGCCUCUGAAAAUCUCCAAGUAAUGCUCGUAGAGAGGUGAUGGUGGCAGCAGCAUCACUACCUCAGCUGGAAUGAGAGCUCCAGAAUUAUUGUGGGCAUAUCCCAAGGUUUCAGCUAGCAAGAACCCUGGUGGGUCUACCUGGCAUUGUCUACUCCAUUGGACUCCCAGAAGCUGCUCUGCCAUCUGUCCGUACCCUGAAUAUCAUCGGCCUGUUAUAAGCACAAGUCAGAGCGACUACAAAGAAGAAACGAAGGAAGAAAUGCAUCUGGGCUUGUAUCCAAUUGGAUUACUGUCAACCUCAUCCAGCUGAGAAGGGAAAAGACAGAUGUACUGAUGGUCACCGAAAUGAGAUGGAACAAAAGACAACAACCUGAGCAGAGACGAAAAGCAGUCAAGACCAAAGGUUUCUUCGACUCCAAACCACAGCCACGUCUCCAUCAUACAGACCAUCCUUUGCAACUUCAGCUUGUGUCAAACAUCCCCUUUGGCAAAACAGCUCUUGCAAUGGAGCUAUCUCCACGUGUCUGCCUUCCACCACCCACGAGACACUGACCUCCAUCGGUCCCCAGCCCUGGUAAGCCACACAAUGAGAGGUUUGGUGGGUUUGGAUUUGCAAGGAGCAGUUGGGGCAGUGUGAAGGCAAAGCCCAAAUGUUGGCCAAGCUCAUCCUCACUCAUGGUUUAACACAGACACAGACGUGAACAAAUUCGAAGUGGCAGUUGUGGUAGAUUUAAGGCCAUUGCAGCCCCGAUGAUCUGAUGGUUUAUACUCGUGCCACAAAAGGUUGUUUUUAUUGUUGUUUUAAUCACUAGCAAAAAAAUAAUUCCAAUCUUUUUUUUUCCCUCCCAUGAAGCAAUGAAGUGACAAAGCAGCAAAAUAAAUAAUUGUAUCAUCGUCUACACAGAGCAAGCAAAAUUGGGUUUGCAAAAUAAAAUAAAGGAAUCAAUCACUUUCCAUACACAAAGACUUUUUUUAAGUAAUUCUUGAAGCAGGAGAAGUUUUAGGAUCAGAGAAGUGGCUGUAAUCAAAAUGCUGGAGGAAGAUGGGAUUCGUUCAGAAAACUAAGUGCCUCAUUAAAAAUCAAUCUCCUUUCUGCACAUUCAAAUAGUGUAUUGAUUAUCAUACUUUACCAGAUCUCUUUAUAGUCACAUUCGCUUGAGAGAGGCAAAAAAAAAAAACAUGUUGUGUUGCAUUUACUACAGUAUUUAUCUAUCUAUAGCUGCAAGAUAGCACCAAGGUGGUCUGCAAAAGGAAGUUGGGUAUCCACCAGGACAGCUGUGUGGGUUGGGCCAGACCUGCAAGGAGUUUAUCUGCGUUGCUCCAUUCCUAAUUGCCAUCCCGACCCUUUGGGGUGAGUUCGCAUCCACCCCACACUGCUGAGAUUGCUCUGCUUCAGCAUCAGCGCUGCUUUCCCAGGAAGGUCAGAGAUCUCUGUGCCUGCAGAGCACGGUGCUGGGGAUUUGCAAGUGAAAACAGCAAAACGAGCAAUUGAAGGGGGAAAAUGGUUAUUAUUCAAAUUCCAUUUCCUGAUUACCAGCAUGCUAUCUCCUGAUUUAGAAUCAGGCAGUCCCUGGAGUCUCCCUGCUCAUCAAUUAUUUUUUCCCCUACCUACCAAAGCCAACCUAGUGGGUACAAGAGAGGCAUCAGGGCUCACCAGCAGUGUUGUGGUUCUUUUGUUUCCUGAAAAAAGGCUCUCUGUGUGUGACCACAGUGUGGCUCUGGAUUACGGUGUGUAUCUUCCACUGCACUUCAUAUAUAGGAGUGAGCCUAAAUAUGAAUUUGGUACGUUGUGAGUGAUCAGCAUUGCUCUGCUCUUCUCCAUAACAGACAUUUCAUUGGUCAUUACAGCUAAAGGCACCUCCCAGUGACACUCAACUCCCUUGAAAGCUCUCUUUUCAUUCCCCAGUCCACUGUCUACAGCUAGAGACUGGGAAACCCAGCAUGGCUAACAGCACUAGAGGCAGGCAGGGGGAAGGCAGAGUUUGCCUUGAGGGCAGUCCUGAUGUUUUGUAAGGAAACUGUGGGGCUGAACUGAACCUUUGCUGAAAUACAGCAUAUUUUGCCACUGAUCUGCAUCCUCGGGUCUGAUCUGGAAUAAUCUCAGGCUUCCUUUGUGUGCCAGCAAUUGGAUUAUUCUGCUUCUGCUCACAGAGCCCUGCAUGGGGCUGAGCCCCGGGGCGCUGCCACGAGCCCUCCCAGAGCUGACUGCAAACUCUGCAGCACAUUUCUGAUAGAAAGAAAUGCAAAUGUGGCAGAACUUCCCACUGCCCUGCUCAGAAGCCAUGGCAGGCUCUGAUUUCUGUAAGACACAGGUGCUAAUUACUGGAAACGCUUCCCUGAGAAGUACCAGUCCCCUAAGGGGAAGUGUUGGGGGAGGCAUUAUUUUCCAUCUAAUCUAUUAAAUUUAGAAGCUAGGAUGGCUGCCACCUGGGAGACCCCUGUGAUUAUUGACUUAUGCAAGCACACUAAUUUCCAGCACUACCUUGUCUUCUCUCUCCUCCCCCUGCAUUAUCUCCAUUUAUGCCAGCUGCAUAUUACCAAAAUUGUAGACUUUUUAGGUACUGUGCAAACACCCAGGAGACCUGGCAGGCUUCAGCUGUGACAAACUGCACUGAGAGGGACAAAGCCAGGAUGUACAAACAGGCAGCCAGGUAGGAAAGAACAGGACCAAACGUGAGAAUAAUGACAGGCCUCAAGUCUUGGUCUCACAUCUCCAGGCUUCUGUAGUUCUAUAAAACCAGAGUGAAAAAAAUCAAGUUAAAAUCUUUGGGACUUUCUAGUUCUUCCCAAACAUUUACUCCCCCAGCCACCACGAUGCUGGUAACCUGCUUUCUAUAUGGGCUCUACCAUCUUUCAUAUGUGCUCUACCAUCUUCCAUAUGGGCUCUGCCAUCUCCUAUAUGUGCUUUGCCAUCUUCUCUAUGGGCUCUACCAUCUUCUAUACAAGCUCUGCCAUUUUCUAUGUGUACUUUGCCAUCUUCUAUAUGGGCUCUACCAUCUUUCAUAUGUGCUCUACCAUCUUCCAUAUGGGCUCUGCCAUUUUCCACACGUGCUUUGUCAUCUUCUAUGCGGGCUCUACCAUCUUCUCUCUGUGCUCUUCCAUCUUCUCUAUGGACCCUGCCAUCUCCUAUAUGUGCUUUGCCAUCUUCUAUGAGCUCUGCCAUCUUCUAUAUGUGCUCUACCAUCUUCUAUAUGGGCUCUACCAUCUUUCAUAUGUGCUCUACCAUCUUCCAUAUGGGCUCUGCCAUUUUCUAUACGUGUGCUUUGUCAUCUUCUGUAUGGCCUCUACCAUCUUCUCUGUGUGCUCUUCCAUCUUCUCUAUGGGCUCUGCCAUUUUCCAUACGUGCUUUGUCAUCUUCUAUAUGGGCUCUACCAUCUUCUAUACAAGCUCUGCCAUUUUCUAUGUGUACUUUGCCAUCUUCUAUAUGUGUUCUACCAUCUUCUAUAUGUGCUUUGCCAUCUUCCAUGUGCGUAUUGUUGCAUACACCUACUCAUAUGCCUUCAGAGAGCUUUCUACCCAAGGUGGCCUUGUUCUGUAGCAAUAAGUGCACAUGCUCCAUGGCUCCACGUAACCCAAAUAGUCCUCUAAUGGCUGAGUAAUACGCUUCCACUCCGUAUAUCACCGUGCCAUUGAUUUCAAUGGGCUUUGGAUUGGACAGUAAGUCUUUACGAUGUGUUUUACUUCUCACUUCCUAGCUCCUUGCCUUUUUCUUUUUUUUUCCCUUGGUUUAAUGGGGGCCUUUCCACGUUACUUUAACAAAGUUUUAUGUGUUUUAAUUUUCUUUUAUUACUUUGUAGCCGAUUUCCAACUGCUUCACGAGACAAGUCAAUGAGACAGAGCUCCUAAUAAACCUGCAUUCAUCAAUGCCUUGUUUUACUCUCUUUCAUCUCUAACUACCAUCCAAUCACUUGGACAACUGGUGCUUCUGAGCUUGCAAUUAGACCCAUGCUUUCUACUGCUGAUGAAGGAAGAUUAAUUAAAUCAGUGCUUUUCAAGGCUAGAACGAAUGAGGGAACAUUUUUGGCAUUUUUAUCCUUGCUUUAAACCUGUAGCCUAUUAAUUUAAGACACCUGGCACAGAACUAACAUUUUGCCCUGAUAGAAAACAAUAAACUGAGAUUUAUACACUGGAG